CAAUAGACAAUCUCUUUCCGUUUUCAAUGCCCCAAUCACCAUCUUAUUAAUGUACUAAUUGACCGCAGUUUUCAGUUGCUGGGUAUUCCUUAAUGCUACAGUUUAUAGUGGAUGUUGUGCUUUGCAAGUGAUGCUCCCUCUUGAUCCGGUUUUAUUUUCCUCUUUUCUUUUUUUAGGCCAAGCAGCUGGAAGAGAAAGACAGGGAGCUGAAGAAGCACGAUGCCUACUACAAAGAGCAGCUGGCUCGGCUGGAGGAGAGGAGUGCCCAGUUCUACAAAGUCACCACGGAGCAAUACCAAAAAGCUGCCGAUGAAGUGUCAUCUCGGUUCAAACGAUACGAGUCUCAUCCAAUCUGCGGUGACCUGCAGGAGAAAAUUCUACAGUGUUACCGGCAACACGCUCAGGAGACCCUCAGCUGCUCUGCCCUGGCUAACCAGUACCUGCACUGUGUCAACCAUGCCAAACAGCAGAGCAUGCUUGGGAGAGGAGGAUAAAGGCAUUGUCCAAAUCAAGCACAAGACCAUCAACUCUAAUUUCAGCAGAAGAGCAUUUUUUUUUUUUCCCCCCAAGAAUGAUAUGACAGCCCAUUUACAGGGCAGACCAAUAAAGAGAAGAACUGGAAGAGCCAUUUCAAGAGCAGCAGCCAUCACAGCUCAAUCAGUGUGACCAUUUGAAAAGCCAAGACCUGUAUCUUAUUACAUCAGAAAUCACACGCCCGAAGAUACUGUUCAGUCGUAGUAAAAUCCACUUAUUGGUGAUUGAAGGAAGGAAAAGAAAAGAACCUUUCACUGACCUCAGAAAGGGGAAAUAUCCUUCAAAUGCUGCUAUUUUAUUGUAGAAUCUCCUCAAAAAAAUACUUCUCCCUGUCCAAGGCGCGGGUGUGUAACACUUGGUGUGCCGGGACGUCAGCCGAUGCUCCUCACUCUGCAGCCUGUAUCCAUAUUGGAAGUUUUCCCUACAGUGUAUAAAUGACGUAAAUUGUGCUUUAAUUUAUAUCACAAAUUAUGUAACUUCAUGAAGUCUCUCUCCAGGCCUUCUGCUGGAAUGAUGUUAAUGAUCCAACACUUCAGAUGUAACAUGGCCUUUAUUUACGGGAAACGAUUCUGUUGUGCUCCUCACUCCUACCAAGUACUGACGAACAUGCCUCUCUCUGUACCAACAAUAAAUGUAUUUUAUGCACAAGAUUGAUGUUUCCG
rnacentral:lncRNA from 1 species